rnacentral:rRNA from 1 species
CGCUGGCGGCAUGCCUAAUACAUGCAAGUUGUACGGGGUUUACUUCGGUAAACCUAGUAGCGAACGGGUGAGUAAUGCAUGGGAAACCUACCUCUAUGUUUGGAAUAACCAAUUGAAAGAUUGGCUAAUACCGGAUAAUGAAUAAUUGCUAAAGCAGUUAUAAUAAAAGGACGCAAGUCCGCACAGAGAUGGGCUCAUGUUGCAUUAGCUAGUUGGUGAGAUAAAAGCUCACCAAGGCGACGAUGCAUAGCCGGCCUGAGAGGGUGAACGGCCACACUGGGACUGAGACACGGCCCAGACUCCUACGGGAGGCAGCAGUAGGGAAUUUUCGACAAUGGGCGCAAGCCUGAUCGAGCAAUGCCGCGUGAGUGAUGACGGUCUUCGGAUUGUAAAGCUCUUUUAUAGGGGAAUAAAAAGUAAGAUAGACUCUUACAUAUUGACGGUACCCUAAGAAUAAGCCACGGCUAACUACGUGCCAGCAGCCGCGGUAAUACGGAGGAUCCGAGCGUUAUCCGGAUUUAUUGGGUUUAAAGGGUACGUAGGCGGAAUAGUAAGUCAGCGGUGAAAUCCUGCAGCUCAACUGUAGAGUUGCCGUUGAUACUGUUAUUCUUGAGAGUAGAUGAGGUAGGCGGAAUGUGGUGUGUAGCGGUGAAAUGCAUAGAUAUACCACAGAAACACCGAUUGCGAAGGCAGCUUACUAAACUACAACUGGACGCUGAGGUACGAAAGCGUGGGUAUCAAACAGGAUUAGAUACCCUGGUAGUCCACGCCGUAA